GGCCUAUUAGCUUAGUUGGUUAGAACGUCAUGCUAAUAAUGUGAAGGUCGUUGGUUUGACACCUACAUGGGCCA